GAACGACCAUGGCAGCUUGCUCCGGAUGUUAGCGGCGGACGGGUGAGUAACACGUGGGUAACCUGCCUGUAAGACUGGGAAAACUCCGGGAAACCGGAGCUAAUACCGGAUAGUUCCUUGAACCGCAUGGUUCAAGGAUGAAAGACGGUUUCGGCUGUCACUUACAGAUGGACCCGCGGCGCAUUAGCUAGUUGGUGGGGUAAUGGCUCACCAAGGCGACGAUGCGUAGCCGACCUGAGAGGGUGAUCGGCCACACUGGGACUGAGACACGGCCCAGACUCCUACGGGAGGCAGCAGUAGGGAAUCUUCCGCAAUGGACGAAAGUCUGACGGAGCAACGCCGCGUGAGUGAUGAAGGUUUUCGGAUCGUAAAGCUCUGUUGUUAGGGAAGAACAAGUGCGAGAGUAACUGCUCGCACCUUGACGGUACCUAACCAGAAAGCCACGGCUAACUACGUGCCAGCAGCCGCGGUAAUACGUAGGUGGCAAGCGUUGUCCGGAAUUAUUGGGCGUAAAGGGCUCGCAGGCGGUUUCUUAAGUCUGAUGUGAAAGCCCCCGGCUCAACCGGGGAGGGUCAUUGGAAACUGGGAAACUUGAGUGCAGAAGAGGAGAGUGGAAUUCCACGUGUAGCGGUGAAAUGCGUAGAGAUGUGGAGGAACACCAGUGGCGAAGGCGACUCUCUGGUCUGUAACUGACGCUGAGGAGCGAAAGCGUGUGGAGCGAACAGGAUUAGAUACCCUGGUAGUCCACGCCGUAAACGAUGAGUGCUAAGUGUUAGGGGGUUUCCGCCCCUUAGUGCUGCAGCUAACGCAUUAAGCACUCCGCCUGGGGAGUACGGUCGCAAGACUGAAACUCAAAGGAAUUGACGGGGGCCCGCACAAGCGGUG
rnacentral:rRNA from 1 species